ACAAACGACUCUCGGCAACGGAUAUCUCGGCUCACGCAUCGAUGAAGAACGUAGCAAAAUGCGAUACUUGGUGUGAAUUGCAGAAUCCCGUGAACCAUCGAGUUUUUGAACGCAAGUUGCGCCCGAAGCCAUUCGGCCGAGGGCACGYCUGCCUGGGCGUCACGCA
rnacentral:rRNA from 1 species